rnacentral:rRNA from 1 species
AUUGAACGCUGGCGGCAUGCCUUACACAUGCAAGUCGAACGGCAGCACGGGGCAACCUGGUGGCGAGUGGCGAACGGGUGAGUAAUGCAUCGGAACGUACCUUUCAGUGGGGGAUAACGUAGCGAAAGUUACGCUAAUACCGCAUAUUCUGUGAGCAGGAAAGCAGGGGACCGCAAGACCUUGCGCUGAUUGAGCGGCCGAUGUCAGAUUAGCUAGUUGGUGAGGUAAAGGCUCACCAAGGCGACGAUCUGUAGCGGGUCUGAGAGGAUGAUCCGCAGCACUGGAACUGGGGCACGGUCCAGACUCCUCCGGGAGGCAGCAGUGGGGAAUUUUGGACAAUGGGGGCAACCCUGAUCCAGCCAUGCCGCGUGAGUGAAGAAGGCCUUCGGGUUGUAAAGCUCUUUCGGCCGGGAAGAAAUCGCACGGGCUAAUACCCUGUGUGGAUGACGGUACCGGAAUAAGAAGCACCGGCUAACUACGUGCCAGCCGCCGCCGUAAGAC